GACGAACGCUGCCGGCGCGCCUAAUACAUGCAAGUCGAACGCAGUGGGGACGGGUGAGUAACAAGUGGGUAACCUCCCAUCAGAGGGGAUAACACUUGGAAACAGGUGCUAAACCGAUACUGAUGGAUGGACUCGCGGUGCAUUAGCUAGUUGGUGAGGUAACGGCUCACCAAUGCCACGAUGCAGAGCCGACCUGAGAGGGUGAUCGGCCACACUGGAACUGAGACACGGCCCAGACUCCUACGUGAGGCAGCAGUAUGGAAUCUUCGGCAGUGGACAAAAGUCUGACCGAGCAACGCCGCGGUAGUGAGGGUCGUUUUCGUAUCGGAAAACUCUGUUGUUAGAGAGGCGGUAUCUAACCAGGAAGCCAGGGCUAACUACGUGCCAGCAGCCGCGGUAAUAC
rnacentral:rRNA from 1 species